ACUCAAAUGAAUUGACGGGGACCCGCACAAGCGGUGGAGCAUGUGGUUUAAUUCGAUGGUAAGCGGAGCACCUCACCAAGGUUUGACAUCCUCUUGAAAGGCACCAGAAAUGGAGCCCCUCUUCGGACAAGAGUGACAGGUGCUGCACGGUUGUCGUCAGCUCGUGUUGUGAAAUGUACCGUUAAGUCGGAUAACGAGCGCAACCCCUAUUGCCAGUUUUACAUGUCUGGCGAGACUGCCGUGGUUAACACGGAGGAAGGUGGGGAUGACGUCAAAUCAGCGUGGCCUUUAUACCUUGGGCGACACACGUGCUACAAUGGGUAGGUCACAAUGGGCCGCAAUAGCGCAAGCUGGAGCUAAUCCCAACAAAACUACCCCCAGUUCGGAUUGAGGGCUGCAACUCGCCCUCAUGAAGCCGGAAUCGCUAGUAACUGCAGAUCAGCCAUGCUGCGGUGAAUACGUUCUCGGGUCUUGUACACACCGCCCGU
rnacentral:rRNA from 1 species